rnacentral:rRNA from 1 species
GAUGAACGCUGGCGGCGUGCCUAAUACAUGCAAGUCGAGCGAACGGACGAGAAGCUUGCUCCUCUGACGUUAGCGGCGGACGGGUGAGUAACACGUGGAUAACCUACCUAUAAGACUGGGAUAACUUCGGGAAACCGUAGCUAAUACCGGAUAAUAUUUUGAACCGCAUGGUUCAAAAGUGAAAGACGGUUUUGCUGUCACUUAUAGAUGGAUCCGCGCUGCAUUAGCUAGUUGGUAAGGUAACGGCUUACCAAGGCAACGAUGCGUAGCCGACCUGAGAGGGUGAUCGGCCACACUGGAACUGAGACACGGUCCAGACUCCUACGGGAGGCAGCAGUAGGGAAUCUUCCGCAAUGGGCGAAAGCCUGACGGAGCAACGCCGCGUGAGUGAUGAAGGUCUUCGGAUCGUAAAACUCUGUUAUUAGGGAAGAACAUAUGUGUAAGUAACUAUGCACAUCUUGACGGUACCUAAUCAGAAAGCCACGGCUAACUACGUG